rnacentral:lncRNA from 1 species
GGGAGCAGGAGGAGAAAAAGGAAGCCAAGCAAGCACAUGAUUAUUGGGCAGAGAGUACUUCAGUUAGAGCCACAAGGGAGCCCUGGAAGUAAGUUAUGCCUCAGAUUUGUCCAGAAACAAGGGAUUUGGCCCUUUUGUACUUUCACAUCCCUCAGAAGUCGAGUCCCAGGCACUUCUGUCAAGGCAAAGCCCUCCAGCAGCAUGAGGAAUAAUGAAUUAAUAAAUUAUAAAAAGGCGGGAGUUCUAACUGUUGGAAGAGAAGCCAUAUGCCAAAGGUGGGCACUGUGGUAAUACAGGACGUGUGAGAGGGAAAUGGGCAAAUGCACAAGCGCAUACAGGACAUGAAAGGAUCCAUGGGAGUGGUGCUACGUACUGCCACUGUCUCUUACAGAAGAUGUUGAUACGGAGAGAUUGCUAAGUGACCUUGGGGAAAGUAAUUUUAGGGAGGUGGUGGUAGCAGAUGCCAAGUGUUAGUGCUUUAAGGAGUGAAUGAAGUGGAAGGAGGAAUGGGGAGAGCUGUUUUACAGGUGUGCUGAAAAGGGAAGGUCAGAAAUGGAAGGUUGGAGUUUGAGAAGGUAGGAAGGGGCUGGCGGGGUAACUCAGUGGUAGAGUGCUUGUCUGGCAUGCACUGGGUUCAACCCCCAGCACCACUACUACCACCCCCAAAGGUGGGAAGGUUUGCUGAGGGAGUCUUGGAAGUCUAAGGGGAAGGAAGCUAGUAGACAGAAUGGCCAUUGAAGGAAGGAGUUUUGGGGAAGAUGGGACAGGAUGGCAUCUUGGGCCAAGUUAAACCAAGGUAUUAAUAUGAAAGGGAGAAACAUUUCUUCCUCAGGAAUAGGUUAAUACUCAGGGUACCACAAAUGAUAUAAACCCCAAUUCAAGCUAGUUUAAACAUGAAGAGGGGGUAGUUUGUCAGUUAAAAGAAUUAAAUAAGAAGUAAUGACUUCAGGCAUGGCUGGAUCCAGGGGUUCUAACAAUGUCAUUUUGAACUUGGCCUCUGGCUCUUUUAGCUCUGCUUUCCUCUGGGCUGCCUUUAUUCUCAGACAGGUAUUCUCCUUGAUAGCAAGAUGGCCCACAGCAGCUCUAAGCUUUGUUCUACAAGCUCAAGGGAAAAGAUCAUAGCUUUCCUGAUGGCUUCACCAAAAGAAAUAGGGCAAUCAUCAGCUCAGCUUUUAGUCACCUUAAGACCAUCUCUUGGAUAAUAAUUUGUCACUGGGUAUGGUGGGACACACCUGUAAUCCCAGCAACUUGGGUGGCUGAGGCAGGAUGAUCACAAGUUCAAGACCAGCCUGGGCAACUUAGUAAGGACCUAUUUCAAAAUAAAAAAUAGUGCUGGGGAUAUAGCUGAGUUGGUAGCGUGCCUGCCUCACAUGCACAAGGCCCUGGAUUCAAUCCCCAGCACCACACACACACACACACAAAAUAAGAAAAAAAAAAAAAGGGAAAAAGGUGGGGGCUAGGGUUGUAGUUCAAUAGUGAAGUGCCCCUCGGUUCAAUCCCCAGUACUGAAAAAAUAAGAAUUUUAUUCUUUGUCCCAGGUUCCUAGCAGAGCUGCUAAAACAUGCACAAUUUCCUAAGUGAUAGAAACAAUUUAUGAAGAAUCCCUUUGGUUAUACUGAAGUUUUUGCUAAUGAGUAUUCAUGGCAGCCCGUAUGUAGCUUCAGUAUGGGGCGAGCACCAGAAAGAACCUGGUGAUUUGUGGAUUGGAAUUUGGAGCCUGUGGACCUGGAGAUUGAAAUGAUUCACAUGACCAGUGAUUUAUUAAUCACCCAUGCCUAAAUCAUGAAACCCCAAUAAAAAUUCAGGAUGCUGGAGACCAACAGGUGUGAAUGCACCGAUGUACCAGGAGGGUGAAGUACCUGGAGUUCACAGGGACAGUGUCCUGGAACUCUGCCUUUGACUCUCCCAGAAUUUGCCCUGUGCCUUUGCCUGUUAUUACUUGGCAGGUCUUAAUUUGUAUCCAAUGAAACGAAUCCCAAGUGUAGCACUACCUGCAUUCUGAGUCAUUCUUGUGACUUACUGAACCUGAGAGUGUGGCCGCCUCUAAGGCAGCCAUGCAUGGCUAAGCCACCUAGGCCACCUCUCAAAUGCCUUUGAUUGA